AUUGAACGCUGGCGGCAGGCCUAACACAUGCAAGUCGAGCGGAUGAAGGGAGCUUUCUCCUGGAUUCAGCGGCGGACGGGUGAGUAAUGCCUAGGAAUCUGCCUGGUAGUGGGGGAUAACGUCCGGAAACGGGCGCUAAUACCGCAUACGUCCUGAGGGAGAAAGUGGGGGAUCUUCGGACCUCACGCUAUCAGAUGAGCCUAGGUCGGAUUAGCUAGUGGGUGGGGUAAAGGCCUACCAAGGCGACGAUCCGUAACUGGUCUGAGAGGAUGAUCAGUCACACUGGAACUGAGACACGGUCCAGACUCCUACGGGAGGCAGCAGUGGGGAAUAUUGGACAAUGGGCGAAAGCCUGCUCCAGCCAUGCCGCGUGUGUGAAGAAGGUCUUCGGAUUGUAAAGCACUUUAAGUUGGAAGGAAGGGCAGUAAGUUAAUACCUUGCUGUUUUGACGUUACCAACAGAAUAAGCACCGGCUAACUUCGUG
rnacentral:rRNA from 1 species